GCGGGAAUAGCUCAGUUUGGUAGAGCAGUGAAAGGGGUAAAACCCAUAUUCCUUGGUUAACAAACUUGCCUGAAAAGGCCGACUUACUGAGGAUUAUCGUUAAUUCAUCGGUCGCAGGUUCAAAUCCCGCUUCCCGCGCCA
rnacentral:tRNA from 1 species